UACGAAGGGGGCUAGCGUUGCUCGGAAUCACUGGGCGUAAAGGGUGCGUAGGCGGGUCUUUUAAGUCAGGGGUGAAAUCCUGGAGCUCAACUCCAGAACUGCCUUUGAUACUGAAGAUCUUGAGUUCGGGAGAGGUGAGUGGAAAUUCCGAGUGUAGAGGUGAAAUUCGUAGAUAUUCGGAGGAACACCAGUGGCGAAGGCGGCUCACUGGUCCGGUACUGACGCUGAGGUGCGAAAGCGGUGGGGAGCAAACAGGG
rnacentral:rRNA from 1 species